rnacentral:rRNA from 1 species
GAUGAACGCUGGCGGCGUGCCUAAUACAUGCAAGUCGAGCGAACAGACGAGGAGCUUGCUCCUCUGACGUUAGCGGCGGACGGGUGAGUAACACGUGGAUAACCUACCUAUAAGACUGGGAUAACUUCGGGAAACCGGAGCUAAUACCGGAUAAUAUAUUGAACCGCAUGGUUCAAUAGUGAAAGACGGUUUUGCUGUCACUUAUAGAUGGAUCCGCGCCGCAUUAGCUAGUUGGUAAGGUAACGGCUUACCAAGGCAACGAUGCGUAGCCGACCUGAGAGGGUGAUAGGCCACACUGGAACUGAGACACGGUCCAGACUCCUACGGGAGGCAGCAGUAGGGAAUCUUCCGCAAUGGGCGAAAGCCUGACGGAGCAACGUCGCGUGAGUGAUGAAGGUCUUCGGAUCGUAAAACUCUGUUAUUAGGGAAGAACAAAUGUGUAAGUAACUAUGCACGUCUUGACGGUACCUAAUCAGAAAGCCACGGCUAACUACGUG